rnacentral:rRNA from 1 species
AGCAGCCGCGGUAAUUCCAGCUCCAAUAGCGUAUAUUAAAGUUGUUGCAGUUAAAAAGCUCGUAGUUGAAUUUCGGGAUCAAUUUGCUGGUCGUGCCUUCGGUACGCACUGGUAUUAUUGGUUUCUCCUUUCUGAUGAAUCGCGAUGUCAUUAAUUUGGUGUCGUGGGGAAUCAGGACUGUUACUUUAGAAAAAAUUAGAGUGUUUAAAGCAGGCUCACGCUUGAAUACAUUAGCAUGGAAUAAUGAAAUAGGACGUUUGAUUCUAUUUUGUUGGUUUCUAGGAUCGACGUAAUGAUUAAUAGGGAUAGUUGGGGGCAUUAGUAUUCAAUUGUCAGAGGUGAAAUUCUUGGAUUUAUUGAAGACUAACUACUGCGAAAGCAUUUGCCAAGGAUGUUUUCAUUAAUCAAGAACGAAAGUUAGGGGAUCGAAGACGAUCAGAUACCGUCGUAGUCUUAACCAUAAACUAUGCCGACUAGGGAUCGGAUGAUGUUAAUUUUUAAUGUACUCAUUCGGACCG